ensembl:snRNA U6 U6 spliceosomal RNA
GUGCUCACUUUGGCAGCACAUAUACUAAAAUUGGAACAAUACAGAGAAGAUUAGUAUGGCCUCUGCACAUGGAUGACCUGCAAAUUUUUGAAAUGUUCCAUAUUAAA